AUUUUAUAAUAUUCAACAGUCAGAACGAGUGGACAACGAAUUUGAGCUGGAGCUGAAAAAAAACACGUCUACAUACCACCACCGGAACCGGAAUGAAGAUCACGGAUGCCAGUCUGGCGGUCCUUGAUUUGAUAGAAGACCCAUUCCUAUCGGUAAAGCAUUGAUAAUGCGUAUGCCUCUUUCCUGUCAAUGUCGCAUAAUUAAAUCAGUGUGAAUUGUAGACGGU
rnacentral:sRNA from 1 species